CCGCGGUUAGCUUAGUUGGCAGAGCACGAGACUCUUAAUCUCGGGGUGGUGGGUUCGAACAUCACGUUGGG
rnacentral:tRNA from 1 species